UACGUAGGGGGCAAGCGUUGUCCGGAUUUAUUGGGCGUAAAGAGCUCGUAGGCGGUUCCGUAAGUCGAGUGUGAAAAAUCUGGGCUCAACCCAGUGGAGCACUCGAUACUGCGGUGACUGGAGUACGGUAGAGGAGUGUGGAAUUCCCGGUGUAGAGGUGAAAUUCGUAGAUAUCGGGAGGAACACCAGUGGCGAAGGCGGCGAUCUGGGUCGAUACUGACGCUGAGGUGCGAAAGCGUGGGGAGCAAACAGG
rnacentral:rRNA from 1 species